rnacentral:rRNA from 1 species
UACGGAGGGGGCAAGCGUUAUUCGGAAUCAUUGGGCGUAAAGGGCGCGUAGGCGGCCCUGUAAGUCUUGGGUGAAAGCCCUCGGCUCAACCGAGGAAUUGCCUUGGAUACUGCAGGGCUCGAGGCUGGAAGAGGGCAGUGGAAUUCCCGGUGUAGCGGUGAAAUGCGUAGAUAUUGGGAGGAACACCAGUGGCGAAGGCGGCUCACUGGACCGGAACUGACGCUGAGACGCGAAAGCGUGGGGAGCGAACAGG